rnacentral:misc_RNA from 1 species
AGAGUUUGUAACACCCAAAGCCGGUGAGGUAACCUUUAUGGAACCAGCCGUCUAAGGUGGGACAGAUGAUUGGGGUGAAGUCGUAACAAGGUAGCCGUAGGAGAACCUGCGGCUGGAUCACCUCCUUUCUAAGGAUAUAACGGAAACCUACACACGAUUGUUGAAACUUUGUUUAGUUUUGAGAGGUCUACUCUCAAAUUUGUUCUUUGAAAACUAGAUAAUAUUUUUCUAAAAUAAUUAACAAACCGAGAACACCGCGUUUUAAAGAGUUUAAAACAAGAGAAAUCUUGAACGCUAAACUCAUAACCGCUUUACCGUACGUAAAGAUAGGUCAAGCUAUUAAGGGCGAAUGGCGAACGCCUUGNCCCUAGCAGCCGAUGAAGGACGGGACUAACACCGAUAUGCUUCGGGGAGCUGUACGUAAGCUAUGAUCCGGAGAUUUCCGAAUGGGGAAACCCAAUAGUUUUAAUCGACUAUUACUGCUGGUUGAAUACAUACACCAGUCAUAGGUAA